rnacentral:rRNA from 1 species
UACGUAGGGGGCAAGCGUUGUCCGGAAUCAUUGGGCGUAAAGAGCGUGUAGGCGGCUCGAUAAGUCUGCUGUGAAAGUCCAGGGCUCAACCCUGGAAGGCCGGUGGAAACUGUCGGGCUAGAGUCCGGAAGAGGCGAGUGGAAUUCCCGGUGUAGCGGUGAAAUGCGCAGAUAUCGGGAGGAACACCAAUGGCGAAGGCGGGUCUCUGGGCCGUAACUGACGCUGAGGAGCGAAAGCGUGGGGAGCGAACAGG